CACUCCGCGAACAGGCGCUGGCGGGCAGGUUAACACACCACGGAGGGCUGGACGCUGGGCUUAAAUAUUUUGCAGUCAAUUGUUUUUAAAAGUUAAACUUAUGUGAUAACUCAAUCUGCAGUGAGUUUUUAGUGCAGUAAGUGCAAUGCUUUUUCCGUGAAGCAUUUCAAAACCAGUGAAGGUGCCUCAGAUGUUGCAGAGUAAGAAUUUAAGAGAGAGGGGUGCCCAGCCGGCUCAGUCAGUGGAACGAGCAACUGUUGGUCUCGGGUUGUAAGGUCAAGACCCACGUUGGGCAUAGAGAUUACUUAAAAAUUAACUUAAGGGCACCUGGGUGGCUCAGUCGGCUAAGUGUCUGACUUCGGCUCAGGUCAUGAUCUCACGGUUUGUGGGUUUGAGCCCCGCGUUGGGCUCUGUGCCGACAGCUCAGAGCCUGGAUCCUGCUUCGGAUUCUGCGUCUCCUUCUCUCUCUGCCCCUCCCCCACUUGUGCUCUGUCUCUCUCUAUCAAAAAUAAAUAAAUGGAAAAAAAAGCUUAAAAAAAUUUUUUUAAGUAUAAGAGAAAAAAUAGAUUAAAACCAGUUAAUAUAGUCAUGUUUGUUUUGAAGAAGAAACUUCCAUUGAUAACAAAAGUAACCCUUUGGGAGGGCACAGUUUAGCCUUUUCUCUGUAGUGGGGCCAGUGUGUUGUUCUGCCACAGGGUUGCCACCAGGAUGCAUUUGCCAAGCGCCUGCCUUCUGUGGGGGAGGAGACGUCUUGACUCGGGAAGCCAACUUACUGUUGGACACUUCUGAGGGGGAAGUGGGGGCCGUUCUUUUGAAAUUAAUAGUAACAACUGUGGCUAGGGGUGCCCGGGUGGCUCAGUCGAUUGAGCAUCCGACUUCGGCUCAGGUCAUGAUCUCGUGGUUCGUGAGUUCGAGCCCCGCGUCGGGCUCUGUGCUGACAGCUCAGAACCUGGAGCCUGUUUUGGAUUCUGUGUCUCCCUCUCUUUCUGCCCCUCCCCUGCUCGUGCGCACCCUCUCUCUUUCUCUCAAAAAUAAAUAAACUUUUUUUUUUUAAUUAAAAAAAUAAUAACUGUGGCUAACAUGGAGCUUUUCAAUGUGCUAGGCGCGGUACAUAUAGUUAUUAUUCCCAUUUGAGAGAGGCAGCAACUGAGGCUUAUAAAGGUGAAGAACUUGUCAGAGAUCACUCAUCAGAUGAGUGGUAGAGGCAGGAUUUGGACCCAGACAAAAGGACAGGCCGGGAGUCCUCAGAACCAGUGUGCAGUGCCCAGCCCAUAGCUGGGUGGCCCCUUGUGUCCCCUUGGAAGGCCAAGGCCGGGAGACCACUCCAGCAGAGGGCAAAGGGGGGCUUGGCAGAGAGGCCACCGGGGAAGCUCACGAGGGAGUACUCCUCCGCCCAAGUAGCCCGGGCCCAGUAGCCUGGGGUCCAGGGUGGAGAGAUGGCUGGGAGCGGUGGGGCAGGCCUCCCCUCAGCCCCAGCCCCUGGUCUGCAGGGUGGUCACAGCUCUGGACAGCCUGGAGAUCCCAGUGAUGUUGCAGAUGGCGUCCCCACCCACAGGGAUAUUAGUUUACCUGACAAGACAAAACUUGACUUUGCGGUAGGGGGCCACAUGGAAAUGCAUCACUUUUCCUGCUUCUCCCUGAGAGUAUUUUUCCCAGAAAUUCACAAGGGCAUUCACACCAUUCCCAGGCCCGCACCUGCUCUCAAGAAAAGAGCUCCUGGCGGCGGGGAGGGGUUGGAUGAAGGGGGACACAGGCCCGAGGGUCCGGCUGGAGGACGAGGGAGUACCCCAAGGUGUACCACGUGGUGCCCACGGUUCACGCUGCUCUGUGGGGAGGGGGUCGGAGCGUCCUCAGCACGAGGGGAAAACUUUGUGUCUCUACCAGACGAUGAUGGAUGUUUAGUGCACUUCUGGCGGCCAUCGUUUCACUGCACACGUGAGCCAGGCCCUUCGUGCCGCGGCCUUCAACUUCUACAGUCAAGCUGGAAAAAUACAAAGCAAGGAUCCCUGUCCUCCUGUCCCCUGACGCUGGCCUCCAGUGUGGCCGCCUGCGCUCCGUGUCCAGGGAUGUGUGCGAAUGUGCUUUGCUCUCGCUGAGCUCUGAGCCCAGCGGGGCCUCGGGAAAGCCUCCCCGGCGGCACUGGAGGCUCCCCCAGGAGAGGGGGUCUGGCUCAGCUCAGACCCUCUGCCGUCCAGCGGGCUGCUGGCAGGAGGAGCAGGAUCUCCAGUGUCCAGGCCGCGCCCGUUUCAAGCCACAAUUACCCGGUUCAGUUCCAGCACGACAGCUUGGCCAGGCGUCCUGCGUCCCUCCACGUCCCUCAUGAGCCACAGACUGCGUGGCGAGGGGGGCCGGCAGCACCACAGGAUGCCCAGGGCUCCGCCGAGGGCAAAGGGUGCCGGUCGUCCAUUCCUUGCCCCCAGCUGCACCAGUGUCCGAUGUGUACCCUCCAGCAGGGAGAGACUGUCCCUCCUGCAGAGGGGCCGGGCGGCAGAGGCUUGCAGCCGGCCCUCCGAAAACAAAGCCCCGGCUGACUGUGUUUGCCAGCUUCCGAGGCGUAAAUACUCACUAGAGCUGCGGAAAGAUGGGUGGUUGGGCACCGGCACAGAGUGCUUCCACGGGGACGCCGCCAACAGCCUCGCGCAAGGAAAAUGUGCUGGAAGGAUUAGGAAGCCGUGUGUUUUGAAUAGGUAUAAACUCUGCCCUCAGGCCAGAGACCCCUGCGGUGGCCGGGAGCCGGACGCAUCAUCUGGAUACGGUCACGUCCUCCAGAAAGGGCAUCAGUUCCUUCCUCUGUG